rnacentral:tRNA from 1 species
GCCCGCCUAGCUCAAUCGGAUAGAGCGUCAGACUCUUACUAGGCGGGUGAUCUGAAGGCUGCGAGUUCGACCCUCGCGGUGGGCU